UGAGUAACCUGCCCUUAACUCUGGGAUAAGCCUGGGAAACUGGGUCUAAUACCGGAUGUGACUCCUCAUCGCAUGGUGGGGGGUGGAAAGCUUUAUUGUGGUUUUGGAUGGACUCGCGGCCUAUCAGCUUGUUGGUGAGGUAAUGGCUCACCAAGGCGACGACGGGUAGCCGGCCUGAGAGGGUGACCGGCCACACUGGGACUGAGACACCGGCCCAGACCUCCGUACGGGAGCAG
rnacentral:rRNA from 1 species